CACGCGAUGUUUACAUAGCCAUUCACCGGAAGCAAGAGCCUGGACCACAGAGCAGAUCACCAGCAGCGUAUGGCUCACGUGUGGGCGACCAGCACCACUUGAAAAGCAGAAGUUCACAAGACAGAAACACGUAUGAGCAUCCGCCUGUCUGGGGCAGGAAAGCUGAGGAAGAGGCAUACCAAGACUAAGGGAAAGAGGCCGGGAAGGCUCUCCUAUUUAGCCGAUCUGAGUCCAAAUUGAAGGCUCAACAUGCUUAAAGAAGGAAUGCAACUCACCUCAAUGAACUUAAUCGACCUGAGGCAGAGAAAGAAUACAAGUUUCCACCCAGUCCAAAGAGCAAGAUAUAUGACUCAGCUGUGUUAACAAUAAUACAGGAUCCACACACUCUCCACCCUUUCAUGUGUAAUGAUUUUUAUGUAUGAAGGACAUGGGACAUGUGAUUGAUGUAAUCAUGGGGGAUAUUAAAUGACUGUACUUGAACUCA